AGAGUUUGAUCCUGGCUCAGGAUGAACGCUAGCGGCAGGCUUAAUACAUGCAAGUCGAGGGGCAGCGGGGGUAGCGAUACCUGCCGGCGACCGGCAAACGGGUGCGGAACACGUACACAACCUUCCUUUAAGUGGGGGAUAGCCCAGAGAAAUUUGGAUUAAUACUCCGUAACAUUAUUAAGUGGCAUCAUUUGAUAAUUAAAGCUCCGGCGCUUGAAGAUGGGUGUGCGUCUGAUUAGGUAGUUGGUGAGGGUAACGGCCCACCAAGCCUACGAUCAGUAACUGGUGUGAGAGCACGACCAGUCACACGGGCACUGAGACACGGGCCCGACUCCUACGGGAGGCAGCAGUAAGGAAUAUUGGUCAAUGGACGCAAGUCUGAACCAGCCAUGCCGCGUGGAGGAUGAAGGUCCUCUGGAUUGUAAACUUCUUUUAUCUGGGAAGAAAUGCAUUUUUUCCAAAGUGUUUGACGGUACCAGAUGAAUAAGCACCGGCUAACUCCGUGCCAGCAGCCGCGGUAAUACGGAGGGUGCAAAGCGUUAUCCGGAUUCACUGGGUUUAAAGGGUGCGUAGGUGGGCAGUUAAGUUCAGUGGUGAAAUCUCCGGGCUCAACCCGGAAACUGCCAUUGAUACUAUCUGUCUUGAAUAUCGUGGAGGUAAGCGGAAUAUGUCAUGUAACGGGAAAUGCUUA
rnacentral:rRNA from 1 species